rnacentral:rRNA from 1 species
GACGAACGCUGGCGGCGUGCCUAAUACAUGCAAGUCGAACGGAAAGGCCCUGCUUUUGCGGGGUGCUCGUGUGGCGAACGGGUGAGUAACACGCGUGUAACCCGUCCUUGUCUUUGGGAUAACACUACGAAACUGGGGCUAAUACCGGAUAUGAGCUUCUGCUGCAUGUUGGGGGAUGGUAAGUUACGGUGGUUGGGGCUGUACUCGCGGCUUACCCGCUUGUUGGUGGGGUUGUGGCUUACCAAGGUUUCGAAGGGUAGCAGGCCUGAGAGGGUGACCGGCCGCAUUGAGACUGAGGUACGGCCCAGACUGAUACGGGAGGCAACAGUGGGAAAGAUUGCAGAAUGAACGGAAGGAGAAUGAAGAAACUCCGCGUACGGGAUAACGGCCUUCGGAUGGAAAACCACAUUCGCAUGUGACGAAGCAUGAGUGACGGUAAUGGAUAAAGAAGCACAGGGUAACUAAGUG